GAGCACGCCGGCCGCCAGGCGCCCGUACAGCUGCUCCAGUAGCUCCUCCGGCCGGUCCGCGCAGCCCCGCGGCCGCGCGGGGCGCCUGCCCGCCCUCGGGGCGCCCGCGGCCCAGCUCGGCGGCAGCGCCAGCAGGAAGCCGGCUACCAGCAUCCAGACCUGAGGGACAGGCCACGCUCAGCGUCCGCACGCGCCGGAGGAGCCCGCCUGCGCCCCGCGCCCGUGUCCCGCCCGCGGCGCCCGGAGCCGGCGGGCGCCUCCCCUCGCCCCGCGGAGCCAGAGGCCGGCCCGGAGGAUGGGAGCCGCGCGGGCGGGCCCCAGAGCGCCCUCCCCGCCUGCCCGCCGCCCGCGGGGUCCCCGGGGCCCAGCCCGGCGCCGGCCCGCGCGCCCCCGGCCCCCGCCGCCGCCGCCGCCCCGAGCCGGGGGCCGCACGGGGGGCGGGUGCGGGGCGCGCGUGCACGUGUGCGUGUGCCUGCCGGGUUGCUGCGCCGCGGGCUGCGAGUGCUUGUGACCCGCCGCACCCUCACCCCCGGGCGCGCCAUCCCUGCUCCGCCGCCAGCGAGGGAGCCCCGGAGCCUAAGACGCCCGGACCCGCCGCCUCGCAGACCCACCCUUGCCCCUGCGCCUCGUCAUCCGCCCGCCCCAGCCAGCCCGCGCAGGGUCCGCGGCCCGCUUUUCCGCGAGAAGCCCCCUGUGGUCUUUCCUCGUACCCGGGGACUCGGACCGAGAAGCCGACUGAGCGAGGUCGCCGCCCGGCCUCACGGACACAGAGCGACUCUGCACCUUUCGCCUCCAGGAGCUGAAAACAUUUUGUCACUUGUGCAGUGUACUCACCAGUGCCCCCAACAUCUUCUCCCCCGAAAGCGCUUUCAGAUUCGCGCCGAGAUGGGGCGACGCGGCGGCUCUUGAGCGGAAUAACCCGAAGGGCCACGCAAACUGGGGCCGAUUUUGGCUCAGAGAGAUUUCUCUAUUA
rnacentral:lncRNA from 1 species